rnacentral:rRNA from 1 species
AGUGAACGCUGGCGGUAGGCCUAACACAUGCAAGUCGAACGGCAGCACAGUAAGAGCUUGCUCUUACGGGUGGCGAGUGGCGGACGGGUGGGGAAUACAUCGGAAUCUACUUUUUCGUGGGGGAUAACGUAGGGAAACUUACGCUAAUACCGCAUACGACCUACGGGUGAAAGCAGGGGAUCUUCGGACCUUGCGCGAUUGAAUGAGCCGAUGUCAGAUUAGCUAGUUGGCGGGGUAAAGGCCCACCAAGGCGACGAUCCGUAGCUGGUCUGAGAGGAUGAUCAGCCACACUGGAACUGAGACACGGUCCAGACUCCUACGGGAGGCAGCAGUGGGGAAUAUUGGACAAUGGGCGCAAGCCUGAUCCAGCCAUACCGCGUGGGUGAAGAAGGCCUUCGGGUUGUAAAGCCCUUUUGUUGGGAAAGAAAAGCAGCAGGUUAAUACCCCGCUGUUCUGACGGUACCCAAAGAAUAAGCACCGGCUAACUUCGUG